CUACGGCCGCCGCGAGGCGGUCGGAAGGGUCGGCAGAAGUCAGCCGAGGGCAUAGUAGGCCGUUCGAUCCGGCUGAAGGCC
rfam:Lentisphaerae bacterium RIFOXYB12_FTLL_65_16 rifoxyb3_full_scaffold_17146, whole genome shotgun sequence.